UACGUAGGGGGCAAGCGUUGUCCGGAUUUAUUGGGCGUAAAGAGCUCGUAGGCGGCUUGGCAAGUCGGAUGUGAAAACUCCAGGCUCAACCUGGAGCCGCCAUUCGAUACUGCUAUGGCUAGAGUCCGGUAGGGGAGUGUGGAAUUCCCGGUGUAGCGGUGAAAUGCGCAGAUAUCGGGAGGAACACCGAUGGCGAAGGCAGCACUCUGGGCCGGCACUGACGCUGAGGAGCGAAAGCGUGGGGAGCGAACAGG
rnacentral:rRNA from 1 species